AGACUUAGGUUAACNAAACCAAGGGCCUUCAAAGCCCCAGAUAGGGCCUUAGCCCUAGCCUCUG
rnacentral:tRNA from 1 species